GGACAGGAAAGGUUGCACUUCAGCCCCAGCUGGUCUCAGCCUGGAGCCCUCCUGCUAUCUGGGCAGCUCUUUGGGCACUGGAACAUCGGUAUAACAGGUGUUCUUGUGUUAUGCCCCGUAGAAGUGGGAAGCAAUGGACUUGCUCCUUUUGAGGACUGCAGAGAUAGCAGCAGCCUUGCCUUGAUUGUUGUGCUGGUCACUGAGUUACCAGGUUCAUCUGCUCCUGCUCUCAGACCUACGCUUGUGCAGCCAGAAAGUAUGUGGGAGUCUGCACGGGCAGAAGUUGUGCUGCAGCAGUUUGAGGUCUCCAUUUUUAACCUUUCCAGAAAAUGCUGCUGUUGGCAGCCUUCCACUACUCUGCUUCUCUGGGGGCUCACCUACAGUGAAUCAUGCUCAGGGAAUUGCCCUGUGCUUAGCUGCUGGACACUGCUUUACUGCAAGAAACGAUUUUUACACUGCAAAUAUUUGCAGCUCUCCAAACCUACGAAAACAAUGUUUGUCGAUGCUCUAGAGAUCAAUGUUAAUCCAAGAAGCCUAGUGCAAUCAGAAGGAUGUUUUGAUUUAUUAGUAAUAUAUUUUAAAAGCAAACAAAUUAGUUUAUAG
rnacentral:lncRNA from 1 species